AGCAAGUUUGGGGCCAGCCUGUACUAUAGGAGGCCCUGUCUUCAAGACAACAUCAACCGAAGAAAUGAAAAGAUCAUUUGGUAAUGAAGACCAUGUAUGUGAGACAGAGAAAUGAAUACUGGAAGAACAGACACAGAAGAGAUGAGCUAAUGAAGACGUUUCCUUUUUGAUAUAGUGAUUGUGACCACCAGAGAAGAAAAGAUAUAAAGGGUUACUAAAGCUUCUACAAAGAUGAACAUGCUGGAAUAACUACAGUUCCUCUCGCUGCCCAUAAGAAAAACAACAGUGAAGCUGAAACCAUCAAGUUCAAUUCAGUGGGCAGAAUCCUAAAAAUGGAUCAGACUUGAGUUUCCUAAGGAAAGAAAUACAAGUUCAAGAUGUGAGCUCUCAGCUUGCUGUUCCAGUAGCCAUGCCUGCAGUCUCUUCCAACAUCAUGGAAUUG
rnacentral:lncRNA from 1 species